CCAGCACCCCGAGUGGUCGGGACGAUUGUUGGGCCUAAAGCAUCCGUAGCCGGUUUUACAAGUCCCCCGUUAAAUCCAGCUGCUUAACAGAUGGGCUGCGGAGGAUACUAUAAGACUAGGAGGCAGGAGAGGCAAGCGGUACUCAGUGGGUAGGGGUAAAAUCCGUUGAUCCAUUGAAGACCACCAGUGGCGAAGGCGGCUUGCCAGAAUGCGCUCGACGGUGAGGGAUGAAAGCUGGGGGAGCAAACCGGAUUAGAUACCCGGGUAGUCCCAGCUGUAAACGAUGCAGACUCGGUGAUGGACUAGCUUUAUGCUAGUCCAGUGCCGCAGGGAAGCCGUUAAGUCUGCCGCCUGGGUAGUACGGUCGCAAGACUG
rnacentral:rRNA from 1 species